rnacentral:rRNA from 1 species
CGAGUMMUUGYAGCAAUGCAAGGCAGACGGCUCAGUAACGCGUAGUCAACCUAACCUAUGGAUGGGAAUAACCUCGGGAAACUGAGUAUAAUGCCUGAUAGAACACUAUACCUGGAAUGGUUUGUGUUCCAAAUGAUUUAUCGCCGUAGGAUGGGACUGCGGCCUAUCAGUUUGUUGGUGAGGUAAUGGCCCACCAAGACUAUUACAGGUACGGGCUCUGAGAGGAGUAGCCCGGAGAUGGGUACUGAGACACGGACCCAGGCCCUAUGGGGCGCAGCAGGCGAGAAAACUUUGCAAUGUGCGAAAGCACGACAAGGUUAAUCCGAGUGGUUUCUGCUAAAGGAACCUUUUGUUAGUCCUAGAAACACUAACGAAUAAGGGGUGGGCAAGUUCUGGUGUCAGCCGCCGCGGUAAAACCAGCACCUCAAGUGGUCAGGAUGAUUAUUGGGCCUAAAGCAUCCGUAGCCGGCUCUGUAAGUUUUCGGUUAAAUCURUACGCUCAACGUACAGGCUGCCGGGAAUACUGCAGAGCUAGGGAGUGGGAGAGGUAGACGGUACUCGGGAGGAAGUGGUAAAAUGCUUUGAUCUCUCGAUGACCACCUGUGGCGAAGGCGGUCUACCAGAACACG